GCCGAACGGGCUGCAUGGCCGAAAUAUCUACAGGUCUAGGUUACCUAUCAGUUUCAAACAUGGCCGAUCAAUAAAAUUAACACACCCGACAUAAUUGACACUAUAAUGUUGCUAACAAAGAGAAUACAUUAAAGACUGCAAUCAUAUAGCACUAUAUUAAACACUUGACAACCUUUAAAACAUAGUCAUAUGUUAAGAAUAAUUCAUAUUCCGAUUGUAGGCUCAUCAAACCAGUCAGUCAAGAAAAAACAUUGUCGGCUUGUGAUUAUAUGACGAUAACUGAUACAAUACAAUAUAAUUUGAAUAUAGGAUUAAAUAAGAUAGAGCGAAAAAUGUGCAUACUCCUCCUCUGCCUCUUCCUCCACCACCACCGCCACCUCCGUAACCUCCAUAGUCCAUUGUAGAUUUGAGAUGCCUUUGUCACACGUGUGGAUAAGUUAUGGAGCCGCUGAAACCAAACGCAAAGAACCACGUGAUUAGAAUAUGUCAACUCGUACCUUUACCACUCGUACCGUAUUUACAAUGCAAUCAGGACAGUUCGGAUCAAAAGCAAAUGGGGCCAGGAACAACUGUUACCAGAUGGGACAUAACGUAAGGGUACCCAAAUUGCACCGAGUACCCAAAUUGCACCUAUUUAGCAAAAAAUAGCAACGGAAAUCUUACAAGAUGUCCUAGAGACUAAACAAUUUGUAUUUUUAUGAUUUGAUACUAUGCACGUCUUUCAACAUAGGUAAACAUAUUUAGAUAUACACAAAACGUUCACAGUAUUUAUCAACAGAUGGACUGUUUACUGAAAAAGCAAAAUGUACGAAAACGUCACCAUGCGACGUCAUCAAAACGUCAUCUUUUUAAAAUUAGCAAAUACAAUAUAUUAUAAGUAUUCAUUUCGUAAAAUAUGAAGAGUAAGCAUGGACUAAUAUCCAAUUGUUCAAAAUAUUUGAAGAAAUUAAACAAAAGCUCGGUUAUUAGACUUUUGACGAUGUGAAUUUAAGCAUGGAUGCAAUUUGGGUACUCCUCAUUACAGAAUCAUGGAUAGUUUGGAGGUUGAUUUAAACCCAUUUUUGCAUGACUCAAUAUGGAUUCAAAAUUAAAUCGGUGUACCUAUACAAUAAAGAAGGGUAGGGCUACAAAAUAAACACAGUAUGGACAUUUUUUUCUUGAUCAUAAAAAAACGUAGGUGAAAAAACUGUCAAAAUAGGUGCAAUUUGGGUACCGUCACGUUAGACAAAUU
rnacentral:lncRNA from 1 species